AUUGAACGCUGGCGGCAGGCCUAACACAUGCAAGUCGAGCGGCAGCGGGACCUUCGGGUUGCCGGCGAGCGGCGGACGGGUGAGUAAUGCCUAGGAAUCUGCCUGUUAGUGGGGGAUAACGCGGGGAAACUCGCGCUAAUACCGCAUACGUCCUACGGGAGAAAGCGGGGGCUCUUCGGACCUCGCGCUAACAGAUGAGCCUGGGUCGGAUUAGCUAGUUGGUGGGGUAAUGGCCCACCAAGGCGACGAUCCGUAACUGGUCUGAGAGGAUGCACAGUCACACGGGAACUGAGACACGGUCCAGACUCCUACGGAAGGCAGCAGUGGGGAAUAUUGGACAAUGGGCGAAAGCCUGAUCCAGCCAUGCCGCGUGUGUGAAGAAGGUCUUCGGAUUGUAAAGCACUUUAAGUCGGAAGGAAGGGCUGUAGGCUAAUACCUUGCAGUUUUGACGUUACCGACAGAAUAAGCACCGGCUAACUUCGUGCCAGCAGCCGCGGUAAGAC
rnacentral:rRNA from 1 species